GAAUAUUAUUUGAAGGCCCUUUAGUAUUAUGCAUUUCCCCCUAUAAAUACAUGAUCCUCACACAGCAAGAGAAAUCAAACACUUCCUAAUCUUGAGAUUCUAUUUUCUCUUACUUGUCUGAGGAGUGGAGGAAUUAAUAGGGAAUUAUGUUGUUGACAGAAGAUAGAGAGCACAGAUGAUGAUAUGCAUUUGUAGGAGCUGCUACAUCAAUGGAUUGUGCAUCUCACUCCUUUGUGCUCUCUAUGCUUCUGUCAUCAUCUUCAUCCUCCAAUUCCCAUUUUCCUCUACUCCCUUUUUUUCUAUGUUGCGAUUCUCUUUAAGUUAAUUACGGUUUAACCAUGACAAAAAUAAUCAUAUCAUAUUUGACAGUCUGUAUUCAUGUCUGUGUUAGUAUUUUAUAAUUAGAUUGUAAGUAUAUAUAUUAAUAUAUGAUUAUUAACCUUAAUUUGUAUGAAAAUUGGAGAAGCUAGAGAUCUGUUUGUAGAUGGCAUGCAGAAUUUGCUUGGCUGGCAUUAAUUCAUGAUCUAGUGGAAACUGCGGUUUUGAACAUCUACCUAUUCUUGUUUCUGUUGGUGUGCUUUUUGGUGUAUUCUCAAUUUGUUAAAGUGGUUGGUCUCACUUUUAUUGAAUUUGUUAUGCUUAUGAUGUUCUAUAUGUCUAACAUUUUCAUUUCUUCUUUACUUCUAUUUUGUUUUAAGGUAGUUCAACAUUUUUAUUAUUUUCUUUAUGUUUUUAUUUUAUGGUAUUUAAAUUUAAGGUUUUUGAUUCAAUUAUUAGAGGACGUAUUGUGAAUACACUAAAAGAAAAUCAGAGAUUCAGAAAUAGAUAGAAAAAUUCUAGAAAUUAUUUACAACUAUCAGAUUUUUUUUUGUCUACAUGAUUAAAUUUUGUAUUAUAUUUUUGUAAUUUUCUUUAUUUUGAAAUUUAUAGUUUUUUUAAAUAAAAUAUUUUAAUUUUAAUUUAUAGACAUCUAAUUUUUCAAAAGAAUGUCUCAUUAAAUAAAAAUUAUUUAUUUCCAUCUCCUCUAUUAAUAUGGAUAAAAAAUUAUUUCAAUAAUAUUUAAAUUUUAUAUUUUAAAAAUAAAUAAAUAAGAUGUCAUAGAUUCAAAUAUUCUCUGCCCCUAUCAAGAUAAUAUCUCUUUUAAUCUUGAUAUUAUGGUAUAUGUUUCUUAUAACCUUAUAAAAACAUUUCAUUGUAAUGAAUUCAUAUAUUUAAUUGUCUCUCAAAUAUAUUGUGUUUAUUAGAGUUUACCAUGGUUGUGAGAAUAUUAUUGUGAAGAGCAAGAAUGAAGUACUACUACUACUACCAGUUGCAUGAGGAGAAAGAAAGGACCACAUACACAUUGUGGUACAUUGUAGGACAUAUUCUUGCCUCGGAUUCUUCCAACUCAGACAGUACCCCAAUGUUCCAGGACUUGGAUUCCCUUCAUUCAUUAAAUUAUGCACUUGUUCUGACUUAUCCAAAAAUUCCUCUCAUUGUACUAACCACCAUUAAUCUAUCUUCUAAAAAAAUUAAUUCUUGUAUAGGGCAACACCUAUUUUUGCAUAUAAAUUAAUUUUUUUUUAUUAUAUAUUAAUGAUAUGUUGUUGGCAAACUUUAGCAAGUAAAAGACCGGUAAAUUAAAGGAGAAAUUAAAUGAAGAAUUUGAGAAGAAAGAUUUUGAUGAAGUUAAGAGAAUUUUCUUAUUAUGAGAAAUUGAAAAAAAAGAAGUGAAUUCUUCUUAUCUUAGUUUAAUUUUUUGAAGAAAAUGGUGAACGAUUUACAAUGUUUGAUGUUAAAACGGUUAACACUCGUUUAGUUCAACAUAUUAAACUUUGGUUCUGUAAUGUCUUCAAACCUAAGAUGAGAGGAAGAUGAUGGAGAAUAUUCUCUAUGCAAGUGGAGCUGGAAUCGUCGUAUAUGGUAUCGUUUUCACAACAAAUUGGUGUGAUGAGCGUGGAUAAGAAGAUGUCGUCAACAAAGUAUGAGAUUGAGAAAUUCACCGAGGUGAAUGACUUUGGAUUAUGGUGCUUGAAGAUGCAAGCUCUUCUUGUACAACAUGGUUUGUUAUAAGCGUUGAAAGGAUUGAAAAAGAUGGAUUCUGCCCUAACGACGAAGGAGAAGACAACGAUGAUCGAGAAAGCCCAUAAUACCAUCAUAUUGAGCCUUGGUGAUAAGGUUCUCUGGCAAGUCUCAUAAGAGAAGACGGUUGCCGACGUGUGGAAGAAACUCGAAGGUAUGUAUAUGACCAAAUCUUUGGUUAAUCGACUCUACCUGAAGCAAGUCUUAUAUUCAUUCAAGAUGAGUGAAGACAAAGUCUUGACUGAACAACUGGAUAUGUUCAAUAAGUUGAUUCUUGAUAUGGAGAAUAUUGAUGUCAAGAUCGAUGAUGAAGAUCAAACGUUGUUGUUAUGGUGCUCACUACUAGAAAAAACAUAUUUCACCUCGGACACGAAAUGCAUUUAACCUCAACUAUAAAGGCGAGGUAACAAAGGGCGUCAUGAGAAGUGAAAACUUUACCUCUCGCUUUUAAAAAACGGAUGGGUCUCUGAAAAGGUCAUGGGUUCGAUACUCGGGGAGACCUUUUUGAAAUUCUGAAAUGGCGAAAACACAUGUCCCCUCGAUUUUGUAAUUUCACCGACGGAUAUACCAUAUUUUCGCCUUGGUUAUCUCACAAAACCAAAGGGUAAAACAAUUUUUUAGUUUAUUAAAUCUAAUGUGGAUUUCUCAUUUCAUAAAUCCUAUACUAAACAUAUAACUUCUAAAAAUUGGUUAGAAAAAUAAUUAUAUGAACAAUUGUGUUAUAUUUUAAGAACAA